GCAAGUCGAGGGGUAACAGGAAAGAGCUUGCUUUUUCGCUGACGACCGGCGCACGGGUGCGUAACGCGUAUACAAUCUGCCUUGCACUAAGGGAUAGCCCAGAGAAAUUUGGAUUAAUACCUUAUGGUUUAUUGAGGUGGCAUCAUUUUAAUAAUAAAGAUUACGGUGUAAGAUGAGUAUGCGUACCAUUAGUUAGUUGGUAAGGUAACGGCUUACCAAGACUACGAUGGUUAGGGGCCCUGAGAGGGGGAUC
rnacentral:rRNA from 1 species